UACGUAGGGAGCAAGCGUUGUCCGGAAUCAUUGGGCGUAAAGCGCGCGUAGGUGGCCAUGUAAGUCCGCUGUGAAAGUCAAAGGCUCAACCUUUGAAAGCCGGUGGAUACUGCAUGGCUAGAGUACGGAAGAGGCGAGUGGAAUUCCUGGUGUAGCGGUGGAAUGCGCAGAUAUCAGGAGGAACACCAAUAGCGAAGGCAGCUCGCUGGGACGUUACUGACACUGAGGCGCGAAAGCGUGGGGAG
rnacentral:rRNA from 1 species